UGACACAAGGUCUCGCUAUGUAGUUCAGAAUGGACUUGAACUCACUAUGUAGCCCAGGCUGGCCUGGAACUUGCAGCAAUCCUCCUGCGUUAGCCUGCCGGGUUCUAGGAUUACAGCAAUGCAGUGAUGGUAAAGAAGUGCUGUUGGGGAAAUCUGUCAUCCUCUAGCGAGACUCAGCACAGGAAGACAGGACGGUACUGGUGGACACUGUGUUCCUCACUCACUGUCACAGCUGACAAGCAAGCAGACAAACAAAGCAUAACAAACAUCAAACCCAGGAACUUGUCACGUGGAUGAAAUGAUAUAAAGGAAGAGCUCAAUGAAAGUUAGAGCCGCAGCAACAGGUUCCAGGGCUGGCACGGCAGCCACAGGGCCCCACAGAUUUGCCUUUUUAGAAGAAGUGUCUGGAUGGCAAAAGUACCAGGGAUUGAACUCGGGACCCUUGUGCUUGAGAGCCAGGCGCCGGAACCACUGAGCUAAAUCCCCGGCCCAUAAAAAUAAAUUUUUAAAGGAAAAAAAUGUUGAGUUCAAACAAAAUAGUGUAUGAUUGGACAGACCAGUGGACAAACAAAGAAUUUAUAAAACUACAGUGC
ensembl:lncRNA